CAUAGUGGCGCACGGGUGCGUAACACGUAUGCAACCUACCUUACAUUGGGGGAUAGCCUUUCGAAAGGGAGAUUAAUACCGCAUAAGACAGUAGUCUGGCAUCAGACAGCUGUUAAAGAUUUAUCGAUGUAAGCUGGGCAUGCGUCCAAUUAGUCAUUUGGCUACGUAACGGCUCACCAAGACUAUGAUUGGUAGGGGAACUGAGAGGUCAAUCCCCCACACUGGCACUGAGAUACGGGCCAAACUCCUACGGGAGGCAGCAGUAGGGAAUAUUGGGCAAUGGACGCAAGUCUGACCCAGCCAUGCCGCGUGCAGGAAGAAGGCGUUAUGCGUUGUAAACUGCUUUUAUACAGGAAGAAACGACUCUUGCGAGAGGCAUUGACGGUACUGUAUGAAUAAGCACCGGCUAACUCCGUGCCAGCAGCCGCGGUAAUACGGAGGGUGCAAGCGUUGUCCGGAUUUAUUGGGUUUAAAGGGUGCGCAGGUGGUUUAUUAAGUCAGUGGUGAAAGACGGUCGCUCAACGAUUGCAGUGCCAUUGAAACUGGUAGACUUGAGUAAAGUAGAGGUGGGCGGAAUUGAUAGUGUAGCGACGCAAUGCAUAGAUAUUAUCAAGAACUCCAAUUGCGUAGGCAGCUCACUUGGCUUUUACUGACACUCAUGCACGAAAGUGUGGGUAUCAAACAGGAUUAGAUACCGUGGUAGUCCACACUGUAAACGAUGAUAAUUAGGUGUCGGCCGAAUCUGGUCGGUGCCACAGCGAAAGCGUUAAG
rnacentral:rRNA from 1 species